UACGUAGGGUGCGAGCGUUAAUCGGAAUUACUGGGCGUAAAGCGUGCGCAGGCGGUUUUGUAAGCCAGAUGUGAAAUCCCCGGGCUCAACCUGGGAAUGGCAUUUGGGACUGCAAGGCUGGAGUGCGGCAGAGGAGACUGGAGUUCCUGGUGUAGCAGUGAAAUGCGUAGAUAUCAGGAGGAAUACCGAUGGCGAAGGCAGGUCUCUGGGCUGACACUGACGCCCAUGCACGAAAGCGUGGGGAGCAAACAGG
rnacentral:rRNA from 1 species